GAUGAAGAACGCAGCGAAAUGCGAUACUUGGUGUGAAUUGCAGAAUCCCGUGAACCAUCGAGUCUUUGAACGCAAGUUGCGCCCGAAGCCAUUAGGCCGAGGGCACGCCUGCCUGGGCGUCACACGUCGUUGCCCCCCCAUCUACUCCUUCGGGAUUGCGGGGGGCGGAUGAUGGCCUCUCGUGCGCCUCGUCGCGCGGUUGGCCUAAAUGCCAAGUCCUCGGCGACGCACGCCACGACAAUCGGUGGUUGCGAAACCUCGGUUGCCUGUCGUGUGCGGUCGUCGCGCAUCGAGGGCUCGAAAAAAUUGCCGGGCUUCGGCUCGACUUUCAACGCGACCCCAGGUCAGGCGGGGUUACCCGCUGAAUUUAAGCAUAUCAUAAGCGGAGA
rnacentral:misc_RNA from 1 species